GAGGAGGUGUAUUUUGUAGUUGUACUUUAUUAAUGGAAAUUUUUGAUAGAGGAUCAUCUUAUACUUGCAUUUGUAAGUCUUGAACUUCUCCAAGUUUAAUUUUUUUCCCACUGCCUCUUUUUAGGAUAAACUCUUUUUCUAUAAAAGUAGCAUGUUUACUGACAAAAACCUUUUGUUCAGUAGGGUGGUAAAAUAGGCAUCCUAUACUCUCUUUAGAAUAACCUACAAACAAGUAUUUAUCUGUCAUAGCACUCAGCUUAUGUCCAAAAUUUGUUUUAACAUAAG
rnacentral:lncRNA from 1 species